CAUUAGGUGACUGAAAGCAAGUAAUGGUCUCUUAAACCUUAAAAUAGUAAGUUAGCAACUACUCCUGAUG
rnacentral:tRNA from 1 species